rnacentral:rRNA from 1 species
UGCCAGCAGCCGCGGUAAUACAGAGGGUGCAAGCGUUAAUCGGAUUGACUGGGCGUAAAGGGCGCGUAGGUGGUUAUUUAAGUUAGAUGUGAAAUCCCUGGGCUUAACCUAGGAACUGCAUUUAAUACUGGGUGACUAGAGUACGGGAGAGGGCAGUGGAAUUUCCGGUGUAGCGGUGAAAUGCGUAGAUAUCGGAAGGAACACCAGUGGCGAAGGCGACUGCCUGGCCUGAUACUGACACUGAGGCGCGAAAGCGUGGGUAGCAAACAGGAUUAGAUA